rnacentral:rRNA from 1 species
AGGAUCAUUAUUGUAUAACAGAGGUGCCGGGGCUGUCGCCGACUUUGUGCACGCCCCGGUGCUCUCUCACAAUCCAUCUCACCCCCUUUGUGCAUCACCGCGUGGGCGCUCUCCUUUUGGUUCAUUCUGAAAAGGGGGCGUUUGCGUUUUUAUACAGACCACCGCAUGUGUAGAAUGUCUUACUAUUUGCGAUAACACGCAAUCAAUACAACUUUCAACAACGGAUCUCUUGGCUCUCGCAUCGAUGAAGAACGCAGCGAAAUGCGAUACGUAAUGUGAAUUGCAGAAUUCAGUGAAUCAUCGAAUCUUUGAACGCACCUUGCGCCCCUUGGAAUUCCGAGGGGCACACCCGUUUGAGUGUCGUGAACAUCCUUCAACCUUUCUUGGUUUCUUGACCGGGGAAGGCUUGGACUUUGGGGGUUUUUCAUUGCUGGCCUCCCUUGAAGCCAGCUCCUCCUAAAUGGAUUAGUGGGGUCUGCUUUGCCGAUCCUUGACGUGAUAAGAUGUUUCUACGUCUUGGGUUUCGCACUGUCGCUUCAGACCCCGCUUCGAACAGUCUUGCAUCUAAGACAGAGUUUUAUAAACCUUGACCUCAAAUC